rnacentral:rRNA from 1 species
GACAGCGACCUACUAGAUCAGGCCAACGUCCGAUC